AUUGAACGCUGGCGGCAGGCCUAACACAUGCAAGUCGAACGGCAGCGGGGGAUAGCUUGCUAUCCUGCCGGCGAGUGGCGGACGGGUGAGUAAUGCAUGGGGAGCUGCCCAAUCGAGGGGGAUAACAACUGGAAACGGUCGCUAAUACCGCAUACGCCCUGCGGGGGAAAGGUGGGGACCUUCGGGCCUACCGCGAUUGGAUGCACCCAUGUGGGAUUAGCUAGUUGGUGAGGUAACGGCUCACCAAGGCGACGAUCUCUAGCUGGUCUGGGAGGAUGACCAGCCCACCUGGGAAUGGGGCCAGGGCCAGACUUCUACGGGGGGCAGGAGUGGGGAAUAUUGGCCAAUGGGGGAAACCCCGAUGCAGGCCUGCCGCGUGGUGGAAGAAGGCCUUCGGGUUGUAAAGCACUUUCAGUGGGGAGGAAGGGCUGAUGACUAAUAUUCAUCAGCAUUGACGUUACCCACAGAAGAAGCACCGGCUAACUCCGUGCCAGCCGCCGCCGUAAUAC
rnacentral:rRNA from 1 species